UCGGGGCGCACCAGGCGCGAAAACUUUGCAAUACACGAAAGUGUGACAGGGUCAUCCCGAGUGCCGACCGCUGAGGUUGGCUUCUACCCAGUCUAGAAAGCUGGGGGAAUAAGGAGAGGGCAAGUCUGGUGUCAGCCGCCGCGGUAAUACCAGCUCUCCGAGUGGUGUGGACGUUUAUUGGGCCUAAAGCAUCCGUAGCUGGCUGAACAAGUCCCCUGUUAAACCCACCGAUUUAAUCGUUGGUCUGCGGGGGAUACUGCUCGGCUAGGGGACGAGAGAGGCAGACGGUAUUCCCGGGGUAGGGGUGAAAUCCUAUAAUCCCGAGAAGACCACCAGUGGCGAAGGCUGUCUGCUAGAACGCGCCCGACGGUGAGGGAUGAAAGCUGGGGGAGCGAACCGGAUUAGAUACCCGGGUAGUCCCAGCUGUAAACGAUGCAGACUAGGUGUUUGGACGGCCACGUGCCGUUCUAGUGCCGCAGGGAAGCUGUUAAGUCUGCCGCCUGGGGAGUACGAUCGCAAGAUUGAAACUUAAAGGAAUUGGCGGGGGAGCAC
rnacentral:rRNA from 1 species